GAGUUUGAUCCUGGCUCAGGAUGAACGCUAGCGGCAGGCUUAAUACAUGCAAGGCGAGGGGCAGCAAUGUCACCGUCGUACGGGUGCGUAACGCGUAUGCAACCUACCUUCAACUGGGGGAUAGCCCGGGAAACCCGGAUUAAUACCGCAUAAUACAGGGGGCCCACAUGGGUCUAUUUGUUAAAGAGUUUAUUGGUUGAAGAUGGGCAUGCGUUCGAUUAGCUAGUUGGUACGGGUAACGGCCUACCAAGGCAACGAUCGAUAGGGGAGCUGAGAGGUUGAUCCCCCACACGGGCACUGAGAUACGGGCCCGACUCCUACGGGAGGCAGCAGUAGGGAAUAUUGGGCAAUGGAUGCAAGUCUGACCCAGCCAUGCCGCGUGCCGGAUGAAGGCCCUCAGGGUUGUAAACGGCUUUUAUUCGGGAAGAAGAGCAGGGAUGCGUCCCUGUGUGACGGUACUGAAUGAAUAAGCACCGGCUAACUCCGUG
rnacentral:rRNA from 1 species